AUCUAAGAGCAAUCUGGCUGUGACAUCUGUCACCCCAGUGUCUCACAGGGUUGAUUAUGCUGAUCUGGCUGGCUAGGCAGGUAGUUCUCUUCCUCCCUCACUGCUCAAUAUGUGUUUUUUCCUAAGCUGCGUGCUUGGUCAGGCUUGGUCAGAGAGGACCUUUCUUUGGUCAAGGGUGUAUAAGUACCUGGGCUCCCCUGCUGGAACCUCCAAAAAAACCUUCAAAGUCCAUUUGUAGGAGAACAUAGGGUAGUCAGGCUUCCAAGACUCCUGACACACCCAAAUGAGGUGCUGAAUGUGGCAGUCUGCCUUUCUUU
rfam:Canis lupus familiaris chromosome 12, whole genome shotgun sequence.